rnacentral:rRNA from 1 species
CCUACGGGAGGCAGCAGUGAGGAAUAUUGGACAAUGGGCGGAAGCCUGAUCCUGCCAUGCCGCGUGUAGAAGACUGCCCUCUGGGUUGUAAACUACUUUUAUACUUGAGGAAUGUAUACUUUGCGAGGUAUUUUGACGUUAUAGUAUGAAUAAGCACCGGCUAACUCCGUACCAGCAGCCGCGGUAA